GAUGAGCUAAUUUCCUCAACAAACAUGACCACAUGGACAAAUAUGUGGAUAAAAAGAGGGAUUCCAAUGAUACGGACGUUAUUCCACCGGCUUCGGUUCUCCAUGUCCUCCAACUUCUCCCAGACACGCUCCAAAUCCACCUUGGUUGAUAGCGGAUUAGCAGAUAAUUCCCUCUCCGAUGACUCCAGAUAAUCGACAUCCCCCACUCUUGUAACCACCUCAGUGAACUUCGCCUCCAUGGCAGUGAUCGAUCCACAUAUCACAGCAAGAUCCUCCAAGUCAGCAACGACCUUCAUCAGCAUUGCCGACAUGUUCAGCAUAUCUCGCCGCAUUUCCCGCACUUCUCCAACUAAAUCGACUCCCAGGCUCACGGCCUGCUCAGGGGCAUCAGCUGGAGCACCUUCCCAGCUUCCUCCUUGCCCGUACAUUCCUUGAAUUGUUACACUGGUGCCGAAAUCCAGGAAGGAGGAAGGAUGCGCUGUCGUGGAGUCCUCGCCGCUGCUGUCCGCCAGGAGAAGGAGGAGCCAUUGCCAUCUGCCAGGGGACGGAGGAGCGGCUGUCAUCCGCUAGGGGGCGGGGAGGAGUGGCUGAGGACCAGUCGACAGCGUGUCUGGGGCCAGCGAGCCUGUCUCUCUCUCCUCUCUCUGCUUUCUUCUCUCUCAGUGAUAGAAAUUUAAUACGUCUUUUGUAGAAUACUGCCAUUAACUGAAGGAGCUGUCUGAUUCAGGCAAAGCCAGUUUGGUUUUUGUUUAAACUAGUAGACUAAUCACUUUCAGAAAAAUGCCAUGGUAUUAUCAUUUGUGGACAUGUGGGCUA